GACGAACGCUGGCGGCGUGCUUAACACAUGCAAGUCGAACGGAAAGGCCCUGCUUUUGUGGGGUGCUCGAGUGGCGAACGGGUGAGUAACACGUGAGUAACCUGCCCUUGACUUUGGGAUAACUUCAGGAAACUGGGGCUAAUACCGGAUAGGAGCUCCUGCUGCAUGGUGGGGGUUGGAAAGUUUCGGCGGUUGGGGAUGGACUCGCGGCUUAUCAGCUUGUUGGUGGGGUAGUGGCUUACCAAGGCUUUGACGGGUAGCCGGCCUGAGAGGGUGACCGGCCACAUUGGGACUGAGAUACGGCCCAGACUCCUACGGGAGGCAGCAGUGGGGAAUAUUGCACAAUGGGCGGAAGCCUGAUGCAGCAACGCCGCGUGCGGGAUGACGGCCUUCGGGUUGUAAACCGCUUUCGCCUGUGACGAAGCGUGAGUGACGGUAAUGGGUAAAGAAGCACCGGCUAACUACGUGCCAGCAGCCGCGGUGAUACGUAGGGUGCGAGCGUUGUCCGGAUUUAUUGGGCGUAAAGGGCUCGUAGGUGGUUGAUCGCGUCGGAAGUGUAAUCUUGGGGCUUAACCCUGAGCGUGCUUUCGAUACGGGUUGACUUGAGGAAGGUAGGGGAGAAUGGAAUUCCUGGUGGAGCGGUGGAAUGCGCAGAUAUCAGGAGGAACACCAGUGGCGAAGGCGGUUCUCUGGGCCUUUCCUGACGCUGAGGAGCGAAAGCGUGGGGAGCGAACAGGCUUAGAUACCCUGGUAGUCCACGCUGUAAACGGUGGGUACUAGGUGUGGGGUCCACUCCACGGGUUCCGUGCCGUAGCUAACGCUUUAAGUACCCCGCCUGGGGAGUACGGCCGCAAGGCUAAAACUCAAAGGAAUUGACGGGGCCCCGCACAAGCGGCGGAGCAUGCGGAUUAAUUCGAUGCAACGCGUAGAACCUUACCUGGGUUUGACAUGGAUCGGGAGUGCUCAGAGAUGGGUGUGCCUCUUUUGGGGUCGGUUCACAGGUGGUGCAUGGCUGUCGUCAGCCCGUGUCGUGAGAUGUUGGGUUAAGUCCCGCAACGAGCGCAACCCUUGUUUACUGUUGCCAGCACGUUAUGGUGGGGACUCAGUGGAGACCGCCGGGGUCAACUCGGAGGAAGGUGGGGAUGACGUCAAGUCAUCAUGCCCCUUAUGUCCAGGGCUUCACGCAUGCUACAAUGGCUGGUACAGAGAGUGGCGAGCCUGUGAGGGUGAGCGAAUCUCGGAAAGCCGGUCUCAGUUCGGAUUGGGGUCUGCAACUCGACCUCAUGAAGUCGGAGUCGCUAGUAAUCGCAGAUCAGCAACGCUGCGGUGAAUACGUUCCCGGGGCU
rnacentral:rRNA from 1 species